UGGAUGAUGACCACCACCAUAUUGAUAUUGACAGGCACUGAAGGCAGCAAGUUGGAAUUCCUCCUCAAAUAUAUAAACACUGCCUCCCCUGUCACUGAUGAGACUUUCAAGUCCUCACGCCAUGCACUACAUCCAAUGUCUCGAGUCUGGAGCCCCUUUUUUUCUCAUCCUCUGUCCAUAAGCUCCACAGAUGGCAUCAUCACGAGCCGUGACCCCGUAAACGAUGCAACCCGGCGGUCUCUUUCUCCUAGUCUUCUCAAAAGACUUGAUCAGUGGCACAUGUUUCCACCCUUGGCUUGGUCGGCCUGGCAACUUCGUCACCUUAGCCAUUAGUUCUGUUCCCACGCCUCUUCUUUGUUCUCUUGUGCUUUAGUUUUUCCUUAUCUUCUUUACAUCAUCCCAU
rnacentral:lncRNA from 1 species